GGGCCCGUGGCUUAGCCAGGUGGAGCGGCCGGCUCAUAACCGGUAGGCCCCGGGUUCAAAUCCCGGCGGGCCCA
rfam:Thermocladium sp. ECH_B, whole genome shotgun sequence.